rnacentral:lncRNA from 10 species
AUGCUGCUUUAAGAACCAGGCUAUAAGAAGGCUCACUUUGCUGAAAAUAUCAGAGGUCUCAGCACCCCUUCAGACCCACUAGGAAAUUAUACAGAAAAAUGUUUCCAGCUAUUUCCUGUUGAAUAAAACUGACUGUAUGAGAAGACGCAAAACUAUUAUCCUGUGGUUCCCUGUCCCACCCUGCUAUCUGUCACGGGCCCCCUUGGUUGUGUGUACCCCAGGUAGAGAAGCACACUUUCAUUCAUUUAGCAUGGAGCUUGCAGGAGCAGCUUUGGCUCAAGAGAAGGACUCUACAGCAUGGGACACAAAGGAAUAUCCAGUAUCUGGAAGAGUUUCAUGCUUUCAUAUUUCAAAUUACAAUUCUACAGGGCUGUGCUUCUCAGCCUGUCCCUUAAGAGUGCACAGACAUUUGGCAGAAAGAGCAUCCCCCAACAUGGCCAGG